UACGAAGGGGGCUAGCGUUGCUCGAAAUCACUGGGCGUAAAGCGCACGUAGGCGGCUUUUUAAGUCAGGGGUGAAAUCCUGGAGCUCAACUCCAGAACUGCCUUUGAUACUGAGAGCUUGAGUCCGGGAGAGGUGAGUGGAACUGCGAGUGUAGAGGUGAAAUUCGUAGAUAUUCGCAAGAACACCAGUGGCGAAGGCGGCUCACUGGCCCGGUACUGACGCUGAGGUGCGAAAGCGUGGGGAGCAAACAGG
rnacentral:rRNA from 1 species